CAAAGGGCCAUGUCCUGAUUAUAGCAAAGCACCUAUUUGCAGCCAGUGAUCAGGUGUAUAGGCCCUUGAGGAAGGAUCCCAAGGACAAGCAGAACUUCCUAGUUGCUGGCCCUGCCUUCUUUCAACACCAUGGGAAGAUGGAUGCCAAGAGAAAAAAAAAUGUUUGCUGUGGAUUCCUGCAUCACCACUAUUACACAGGGUUGAAGAUGGGAAAGGAUCACUGCCAUGAGGAGUAAUUGCAGCUCUUUUCUUCAAGGUCAUCGUUUCUGAAGUUGGUGAAUAGCUGAGCAAUGUCAACAGACAAUCUCAACAGGCUCUACAACAUCAGUAAUUUCAUACUUGUCAACUGUAUGGAUUAGUGUGACAGUAUGUUUUGCUCCAGUGUGUGGUAAAUAACAUCUUCCACUGAUGGUCUUUUCUGUCUGGACUUCAUCUUUUCAUCUGCAUUAUCAGCAUCUAUAUUUUUCUCAUUCGUCUGCUGUGGAGAAUUCCACCCAUGUCCUGUCUUUGGAUUGUUUAAAAACUGGCAGGUGUAUCCAAAAUGCACUGUAAUGGGGCAGGUUUUCAAACGUUCAGCCAAUAUUACUGUGUUCUAAGCAUGUAAUUACUUCCAGUAUGUGAGAACUCUCUCUUGUGUUUUUGAAAUACCAAUUCUUGAAUAUUAAAAACCAGACUGUAGCUAGUAAGCUUUCCAUAUGAUCAGCUGUAGCAAAGCAAAUCACCAUUAAGCCACAAAAAUAGGUUAACUGCAACUUCCAGUGAAGUAAAGAGGCAGUAUCAAGCAAGACUCGAACACGAAAAAUAUUAUUUCUCAAGGUGACUACCUGAAGAAGUGUUGUGUUUCCUGGAAGAUGGAAAUCUCAAAAAAAAAAAAAAAAAAUCAUUCUUUUUAAAAUUUAAGUUAUUUCUACAGUUGUGGUUGCUGUUUUACAGUUGUCUGUACAACCAUACUUUUAAAUUUAAUUAUGCUGUUAAAUUUAAUUCCUGUAAUGCCUUCCAUAACAACAAAAUAAUCAGAUCUUGCAAAAGUAUUUAUGCAUAGUUUUGCCUUUAUGUACAGCUAUGCUAUGCAGUUAGAUACCGGCAUAUUUAUAUAACAUUCUUUAAGCCUGAGAAGAUCCAGUGAGAGUUAUUUCUGCUCAAAAUAAAUAUGAUGUCUAAACAGACUACUCUUGUCACAGUCAGAUUUCUAAAAUGUCACUAAUGGCUGGAAACUCUGGGAUUGCUGCCAUCUUCUCUUUCCCAUCAGGGAUGGGGCACUAGUUGCUUUGUGUGGUAAAGGGGUGAACUAAUGUACAAAAGAGCUGCAUCUAAGCUUUCUCAGACAUUGUUAAUAACUGGAAGGAAUGACAGCUGAGGAUAUUGGGAU
rnacentral:lncRNA from 1 species